rnacentral:rRNA from 1 species
AUUGAACGCUGGCGGCAGGCUUAACACAUGCAAGUCGAGCGAGCGGCGGACGGGUGAGUAAUGUCUGGGAAACUGCCUGAUGGAGGGGGAUAACUACUGGAAACGGUAGCUAAUCCCGCAUACCAUCAGAUGUGCCCAGCUGGGAUUAGCUAGUAGGGGGGGUAAUGGCUCACCUCGGCGACGAUCCCUAGCUGGUCUGAGAGGAUGACCAGCCACACUGGAACUGGGAGACGGUCCAGACUCCUACGGGAGGCAGCAGUGGUGAAUAUUGCACAAUGUGCGCAAGCCUGAUGAAGCCAUGCCGCGUGUGUGAAGAAGGCGUUCGGGUUGUAAAGCACUUUCAGCGAGGAGGCGUGACUCGCAGAAGAAGCACCGGCUAACUCCGUGCCAGCAGCCGCGGUAAUUC